GAGGGUAAAGCUCAGUGAUAGAGUGUGUGCUUCACAUGCACGUGGUCCUGUGUUCAGUCCCCAGUGCCUCCA
rnacentral:tRNA from 1 species